UGGGGAAUAUUGGACAAUGGGCGCAAGCCUGAUCCAGCCAUGCCGCGUGGGUGAAGAAGGCCUUCGGGUUGUAAAGCCCUUUUGUUGGGGAAGAAGUCGUGCAGGUGAAUAUCCUGCGCGGAUGACGGUACCCAAAGAAUAAGCACCGGCUAACUUCGUGCCAGCAGCCGCGGUAAUACGAAGGGUGCAAGCGUUACUCGGAAUUACUGGGCGUAAAGCGUGCGUAGGCGGUUCGUUAAGUCCGUUGUGAAAGCCCUGGGCUCAACCUGGGAAUUGCAGUGGAUACUGGCGAGCUAGAGUACGAUAGAGGAUGGUGGAAUUCCCGGUGUAGCGGUGAAAUGCGUAGAGAUCGGGAGGAACACCCGUGGCGAAGGCGGCCAUCUGGACCAGUACUGACGCUGAGGCACGAAAGCGUGGGGAGCAAA
rnacentral:rRNA from 1 species